rnacentral:lncRNA from 1 species
AGAAAUAAGAGCUCCUGAGACCCUGCUGGAUACAAAUGCCCUGUACGACCUAAGGGCCUCCACAGCAGGAACAAAAGGAAUUUUGUCUGAGAUUUUAGCAGAAAAGUAAUUUUUGAAAUCUAUUCUUGGAUUUAGACGUUUAUUGGAUUUCAAAGCUUCUUGCUGCCCAGGAGCUUGUGAAUACGGUCAAAGGUCCAUGAAAUUUCCAAAGUGGUACCACAGCAGAUGAACCUGAAUGCAAACUGGAGGGACCAACAGAGUCCAGCCUAUAGACAUAAAUCCUUAACUACACCUAGAUCUCACUGUCUUUUCCAAUGGUCAAAAGAGGGGCUCUUGAAAUGGCUCCAUUGUUUUAUAGAAACAAGGUCUUCCUAAGAAGUCUUUUUCUCCUAUCUUUUUCUUACCCAAAAUAAAGGAAUGGCCCAAAACCUCAAGCCAAGCUUACCAGCUAUAAACAACUUGGUGGUCAGCAGCCAAAAGAAGAGUGGACAUGCCAUGGUCAUGUGGCACGUACCCUAUACAAGCUUCACAGAGAAGAAUGGAAGCACUUGAUUGUAAGACAGAGGGUGAGAUGUGAGAGGAAUAUUAACCUUCACUUUCCACAGGCAUUUUUUUCUGCAAAUGGCACCAGCUUUUGGACUUAAAAUUUUAUUCCAAAUACUAUUUAGAUGCAUCAGGGCCCUCAAAAUAUGGAUUUCAAGUUGGAGACAUCAAAGUGCAUUAUUUACUAAAACCACUGCAGCUUUUUUCCCCUCUCCUUUCACAAGAUGCUAUUGUAAAUUCAGGCUGCUUUAAUCUCUGUGAUUAAAAAAAAAAAGGAAGAAAGAAAAAAAAAGUGCUGCUUGAAGAGGAACUGAACUCACAAUCUGGGAGCUAGAAAGUAAAUAUUACCCAGAGAGUACCUCACUUUAAUUACUGGCCUGAACAUUGGUUUCAAUUUACAUGUAUUUUAAUUAGCCACAGAAGGGUUCACCUAUUACUCUCUGAAUACAAAACUUAAAAAGCAAACAGAAAAUAGGGAAAGAAAGGCUUAUUUAAGGGCCUCCAAGGAUUAAUCUUUGCAUUCUUCUCAUUUUUUCCCCGAAUUUGGGGAUAAAAUUUGUCGCAGGGAAUUUGAUCUUAGGGAAACAUUGAGUUUGGUUUGUGAACACAAGCUACUUCUGAACACUAUUUUAGCAAACAGAAUUUUAGAAGCAUAAGGCUCUAGCAGAGGGCUAUACAGAAUUUUGCAUAAACUAAAUAACAACCGUUUCCUCCUGAAAUGCAGGAAAUCAAGCUGCACGGGUAUGUUUGCUGAUUGGUCCUUAGGUCUUCAGCAAAGCUUGGACCACUUGGCAAAGUCUUCUGUCUCCAGAGGAAUGAUGGGAAAACUAUGGGACAAAAGUCAGGAGAGUGGUGCUGGCUGAUCCUGGCCUGGACAUUGACUCCCUGGGGACUUUGGAGCCAGCAGCUGAUAUUGACUAGCAGGUCACAGUGGCAACAGGAAGAUGAGAAGUUUCUGAAUGGAGCUGCACUCCGAGGCUGCUAACAAUAGUGGAUAUUAAGACAACUGACUUUUUUCUAAUGGAGGAAGGUGGAAGGGAGAGUUCAUGCAACUUCCCAGUGAGAUCCACCAUCGUUUCUCCUGCCUAUGCCCACAGGGCACUUGGUUUAUCCUGCAACUGC